rnacentral:rRNA from 1 species
GGUUGAUUCUGGCUCAGAUUGAACGCUGGCGGGAUGCUUUUACACAUGCAAGUCGAACGGCAGCACGGGCUUCGGUCGGUGGCGAGUGGCGAACGGGUGAGUAAUGUAUCGGAACGUGCCUAGUAGCGGGGGAUAACUACGCGAAAGCAGCUAAUACCGCAUACGCCCUUCGGGGGAAAGCGGGGGACCUUCGGGCCUCGCACUAUUAGAGCGGCCGGAUAUCGGAUUAGCUAGUUGGUGGGGUGUCGUCACCAAGGCGACGAUCCGUGGCUGGUUUGAGAGGACGACCAGCCACACUGGGACUGAGACACGGCCCAGACUCCUACGGGAGGCAGCAGUGGGGAAUUUGGAUAUCGGGGGAAACCCUGAUCCAGCCAUCCCGCGUGUGCGUGAUGAAGGCCUUCGCUGUAAAGCACUUUUGGCAGGAAAGAAACGGCACGGGAUAAUACCCUCGUGCAACUGACGGUACCUGCAGAAUAAGCACCGGCUAACCACGUGCCAGCAGCUGCGGUAAUACGUAGGGUGCAGCGUUAAUCACCAUUGGGCGUAGUAAGCGUGCGCAGGCGGUUCGGAAAAGAAAGAUGUGAAAUCCUGAGCUUAACUUUGGAACUGCAUUUUUAACUACCGAGCUAGGAGUGUGUCAGAGGGAGGUGGAAUUCCGCGUAGCAGUGAAAUGCGUAGAUACGUGAGAGGAACACCGAUGGCGAAGGCAGCCUCCUGGGAUAACACUGACGCCCAUGCACGAAAGCGAGCAAACAGGAUUAGAUACCCUGUAGUCCACGCCCUAAACGAUGUCAACUAGCUGUUGGGGCCUUCGGGCCUUGGUAGCGCAGCUAACGCGUGAAGUUGACCGCCUGGGGAGUACGGUCGCAGAUUAAAACUCAAAGGAAUUGACGGGGACCCGCACAAGCGGUGGGAUGAUGUGGAUUAAUUCGAUGCACCGCGAAAAACCUUACCUACCCUGAUGUCUGGAAUCCCGAAGAGAUUUGGGAGUGCUCGCAAGAGAAACUGAACACAGGUGCUGCAUGGCUGUCGCCAGCUCGUGUCGUGAGAUGCUGGGUUAAGUCCCGCAACGAGCGCAACCCUUGUCAUUAGUUGCUACGAAAGGGCACUCUAAUGACUGCCGGUGACAAACCGGAGGAAGGUGGGGAUGACGUCAAGUCCUCAUGGCCCUUAUGGGUAUAGGGCUUCACACGUCAUACAAUGGUCGGGACAGGUCGCCAACCCGCGAGGGGGAGCCAAUCCCAGAAACCCGAUCGUAGUCCGGAUCGCAGCUCAACCUGACUGCGUGGAAGCUGGAAUCGCUAGUAAUCGCGGAUCAGUGUCGCGGUGAAUACGUUCCCGGGUCUUGUACACACCGCCCGUCACACCAUGAGUGGGUUUUACCAGAAGUAGUUAGCCUAACCGUAAGGAGGGCGAUUACCACGGUAGAUUCAUGACUGGGGUGAAGUCGUAACAAGGUAG